rnacentral:rRNA from 1 species
UACGUAGGGACCAAGCGUUGUUCGGAUUUACUGGGCGUAAAGGGCGCGUAGGCGGCGUGACAAGUCACUUGUGAAAUCUCUGAGCUUAACUCAGAACGGCCAAGUGAAACUGUUGUGCUAGAGUGCAGAAGGGGCAAUCGGAAUUCUUGGUGUAGCGGUGAAAUGCGCAGAUAUCGGGAGGAACACCUAUGGCGAAGGCAGCUUGCUGGGACGGUACUGACGCUGAGACGCGAAAGCGUGGGGAGCAAACAGG